CCAAGCAGCCAUAUCACCCUGCAACUCACAACUGGCAACCCACUGAAGCUCAGCAGGUGUGAGCCUGGUCAGUACCUGGAUGGGAGACCUCCUGGGAAAAACUAAGGUUGGCGCUGGAA
rnacentral:rRNA from 1 species